CGUGAACAAUCUGUCCUCACGUUCCGGAUAAUUGGUCGAAAGACCUUGUAAUACGGGCGAGGGUCCCCUGAUGGCAUCUUCGGGGGAAGGAAAGCGCAAGCUGCGCGAGGAGGAGUUCGCGGCCUAUCAGUUAGUUGGUGAGGUAAUGGCUCACCAAGACGACGACGGGUAGCUGGUCUGAGAGGAUGGUCAGCCACAUUGGAACUGAGACACUGUCCAG
rnacentral:rRNA from 1 species